rnacentral:rRNA from 2 species
UUAAGCGACUAAGCGUACACGGUGGAUGCCCUGGCAGUCAGAGGCGAUGAAGGACGUGCUAAUCUGCGAAAAGCGCCGGCGAGGUGAUAUGAACCUUUGACCCGGCGAUGUCCGAAUGGGGAAACCCAGUGCAAUCCGUUGCACUAUCGUUAACUGAAUACAUAGGUUAACGAGGCGAACCGGGGGAACUGAAACAUCUAAGUACCCCGAGGAAAAGAAAUCAACCGAGAUUCCCCCAGUAGCGGCGAGCGAACGGGGAGCAGCCCGGAGUCUGAAUCAGCUUGUGUGUUAGUGGAACGGUCUGGAAAGUCCGACGGUACAGGGUGAUAGUCCCGUACACGAAAGCACACAUGCUGUGAACUCGAAGAGUAGGGCGGGACACGUGGUAUCCUGUCUGAAUAUGGGGGGACCAUCCUCCAAGGCUAAAUACUCCUGACUGACCGAUAGUGAACCAGUACCGUGAGGGAAAGGCGAAAAGAACCCCGGCGAGGGGAGUGAAAAAGAACCUGAAACCGUGUACGUACAAGCAGUGGGAGCCUCUUUAUGGGGUGACUGCGUACCUUUUGUAUAAUGGGUCAGCGACUUAUAUUCUGUAGCAAGGUUAACCGUAUAGGGGAGCCGAAGGGAAACCGAGUCUUAACUGGGCGUUAAGUUGCAGGGUAUAGACCCGAAACCCGGUGAUCUAGCCAUGGGCAGGUUGAAGGUUGGGUAACACUAACUGGAGGACCGAACCGACUAAUGUUGAAAAAUUAGCGGAUGACCUGUGGCUGGGGGUGAAAGGCCAAUCAAACCGGGAGAUAGCUGGUUCUCCCCGAAAGCUAUUUAGGUAGCGCCUCGUGAACUCAUCUUCGGGGGUAGAGCACUGUUUCGGCUAGGGGGCCAUCCCGGCUUACCAACCCGAUGCAAACUACGAAUACCGAAGAAUGUUAUCACGGGAGACACACGGCGGGUGCUAACGUCCGUCGUGAAGAGGGAAACAACCCAGACCGCCAGCUAAGGUCCCAAAGUCAUGGUUAAGUGGGAAACGAUGUGGGAAGGCACAGACAGCCAGGAUGUUGGCUUAGAAGCAGCCAUCAUUUAAAGAAAGCGUAAUAGCUCACUGGUCGAGUCGGCCUGCGCGGAAGAUGUAACGGGGCUAAACCAUGCACCGAAGCUGCGGCAGCGACACUAUGUGUUGUUGGGUAGGGGAGCGUUCUGUAAGCCGUUGAAGGUGUGCUGUGAGGCAUGCUGGAGGUAUCAGAAGUGCGAAUGCUGACAUAAGUAACGAUAAAGCGGGUGAAAAGCCCGCUCGCCGGAAGACCAAGGGUUCCUGUCCAACGUUAAUCGGGGCAGGGUGAGUCGACCCCUAAGGCGAGGCCGAAAGGCGUAGUCGAUGGGAAACAGGUUAAUAUUCCUGUACUUGGUGUUACUGCGAAGGGGGGACGGAGAAGGCUAUGUCAGCCGGGCGACGGUUGUCCCGGUUUAAGCAUGUAGGCGGAGGUUCCAGGUAAAUCCGGUACCUUGUUAACGCUGAGGUGUGAUGACGAGGCACUACGGUGCUGAAGUGAUAAAUGCCCUGCUUCCAGGAAAAGCCUCUAAGCAUCAGGUAACACGAAAUCGUACCCCAAACCGACACAGGUGGUCAGGUAGAGAAUACCAAGGCGCUUGAGAGAACUCGGGUGAAGGAACUAGGCAAAAUGGUGCCGUAACUUCGGGAGAAGGCACGCUGAUGUGUAGGUGAAGUCCCUGCGGACGGAGCUGAAAUCAGUCGAAGAUACCAGCUGGCUGCAACUGUUUAUUAAAAACACAGCACUGUGCAAACACGAAAGUGGACGUAUACGGUGUGACGCCUGCCCGGUGCCGGAAGGUUAAUUGAUGGGGUUAGCGGCAACGCGAAGCUCUUGAUCGAAGCCCCGGUAAACGGCGGCCGUAACUAUAACGGUCCUAAGGUAGCGAAAUUCCUUGUCGGGUAAGUUCCGACCUGCACGAAUGGCGUAAUGAUGGCCAGGCUGUCUCCACCCGAGACUCAGUGAAAUUGAACUCGCUGUGAAGAUGCAGUGUACCCGCGGCAAGACGGAAAGACCCGUGAACCUUUACUAUAGCUUGACACUGAACACUGGUCCUUGAUGUGUAGGAUAGGUGGGAGGCUUUGAAGCGUGGACGCCAGUCUGCGUGGAGCCAACCUUGAAAUACCACCCUUUAAUGGCUGGUGUUCUAACGUAGACCCGUAAUCCGGGUUGCGGACAGUGUCUGGUGGGUAGUUUGACUGGGGCGGUCUCCUCCCAAAGAGUAACGGAGGAGCACGAAGGUUGGCUAAUCCUGGUCGGACAUCAGGAGGUUAGUGCAAUGGCAUAAGCCAGCUUGACUGCGAGCGUGACGGCGCGAGCAGGUGCGAAAGCAGGUCAUAGUGAUCCGGUGGUUCUGAAUGGAAGGGCCAUCGCUCAACGGAUAAAAGGUACUCCGGGGAUAACAGGCUGAUACCGCCCAAGAGUUCAUAUCGACGGCGGUGUUUGGCACCUCGAUGUCGGCUCAUCACAUCCUGGGGCUGAAGUAGGUCCCAAGGGUAUGGCUGUUCGCCAUUUAAAGUGGUACGCGAGCUGGGUUUAGAACGUCGUGAGACAGUUCGGUCCCUAUCUGCCGUGGGCGCUGGAGAAUUGAGGGGGGCUGCUCCUAGUACGAGAGGACCGGAGUGGACGCAUCACUGGUGUUCGGGUUGUCAUGCCAAUGGCACUGCCCGGUAGCUAAAUGCGGAAGAGAUAAGUGCUGAAAGCAUCUAAGCACGAAACUUGCCCCGAGAUGAGUUCUCCCUGAGACCUUGAGUCUCCUGAAGGAACGUUGAAGACGACGACGUUGAUAGGUCGGGUGUGUAAGCGCAGCGAUGCGUUGAGCUAACCGAUACUAAUGAACCGUGAGGCUUAACCUU